GUUUUGCCAUGUUGGCCAGGCUGGUCUUGAACUCCUGACCUCUGGUGAUCUGCCCGCCUUGCCCUCCCAAAGUGCUGGGAUUACAGGCGUGAGCUACCACGCUCAGCCAAUAUACAGAUUUUUCUAUUUAUCAACUUUUAUUGAUCAAUUUUAGUCAUUCUCUAUUAACUUCCUGCUAUUUAUACCACCCGAAUGCCUUUCCCAUGCCUCCAAUAUAGCCAUGUCACUAAUUAUAUAUCCUCUAUUCCUUAUCUUUCUACCUUUAACUAAUAGACUUACUCUCCCUUUUCUCUCUUUUAACUUGUCAACUGCACUUUUAUAUUAACAAGGUUAAUAUUUACACUUUGUUCUAUAACCAUAAUUAAGUCAUCCAUACUUUGCCAGUAGGUCAUUCUAAAAGUUUAAGGGCAAUAAAGUGUUUACAUUAUUAUGAUUAUGUAAAUAUUGUUCCAGAAAGAUCCAAUUAGUAUAUUAGGAUUACAUUGCUUUUCUUAUACACCUUUUUUUCCUUAGAGUUUCUAAUUGUCUUUCUUUUUUUCCUUGCAUUGUCUGACUUUAUCACCUUCUUAAGUUAUUCCAAAGUCUCAAGGAAAGUAUAAAAUCAUUUGAAUCCCCUUUUUCCCCAGAUACCUUCUUCCUGGAGUCCUCCGUCUUCCUGUUCCAAUUUGGACGGAUUGCUCUGUAGGCCUGCGGUGCAGCUGUCAUCCUGGGACGUCCCUUCAUUAUUCUGGGUUGGACCCAAUCUUUCUUGGACCCCAUAUCUUCCUCUUUCUUAGUUUACUCCCUUGUAGUGGACAUUGUAGUUGUUCUGCAGCAUCCAUUCCACUCCUCUCCCGCUGUAUAACAACUAUGCAAUGUGAGUGGGAUUGACCCCACCACCAGCUCUAGGUGUAGGCCUUUAUUGGUAUAAACUGAUCUGAGUAAUUUCACCCUCCUAGCCACAGUGAUGACUGGUUCAGGGAUGACCCAAUCACAAUGAGGCUUAGGACUUUUAUUCAGCUUUUGAGGGAGGAGAUGACCUAUCUUCCCUUGGAUAAGAACAAAGAAGCAUGUAGCCUGGUUGCUGCUGUUAGCCAUCUUGUGAACAUGUGGAAGGCCUACCUGAGGAUGGAGCUGAAAAAUGGAGGAGGCAGAGCCAAGAGAAUCACAGAAAUGGAACCAUAUUCCGGAUCAUGCCAUGCCUGAAAUCUCCCUGCCUGUGGACUCUUCAGUUAAUCAAGCCGUCUGGAGCUGUGACAGCCAUCUUGUGACCAUGUGGGGAUGAGCACGAGGAAGAAGACAACAUGUGAAGGAAGAAAGUCAGAAAGAGCCCAAUUUCUUGAUGGCAUCAUUGAGCAGCUGAACCCAUGCCACAGUUCCUGUUAACUUAAAAAAAUAAAUAAAGCCAUAUGUGUUUAAGCCACUAUCAGUUGAGUUUUUUGUUACUUGUAGCUGAAAUGAUUUUUAUUUGAUGGACCGCCAUGGUUCCUUGUCAUAUGCUUAUAUCAUUCUUUCUUUCUUUCUUUCGAGACAGAGUCUCGCUGCAAUGCCCAGGCUGGAGUGCAAUGGCACGAUCUCGGCUCACUAAAACCUCCACCUCCCAGGUUCAAGCAUUUCUCCUGCCUCAGCCUCCUGAGCAGCUGGUAUUACAGGCGCCUGCCACCACACCCAG
rnacentral:lncRNA from 1 species